GUUGUCUGGCUGUAUGGUGACGGAGGAAGGCUGUGGUUAUUUGUCUUCAGCUCUGAGUUUAAACCCUCACACCUGAAAGAACUGGAUCUGAGCUACAAUCACCCAGGAGAUUCAGGAAUGCAGCUGCUCAAACAUAAACUGGAGGAUCCAAACUGUAAACUGGUAGAACUCAAUUUUAACCAUGGAGGAGGUUCAGGAUUAAACCAGGACUGAGAAAAUAUGCCUGUGAUCUCAUACUGGAUCCAAAAACGGCACACACUCAAGUCAUCCUGUCCGAAGACAACAAAAAAGCAAGUUGUAUAAAGAGGAGCAGCCGUAUCCUGACUGUCCAGAGAGAUUUGAGCGCUUUGAGCAGGUUCUGUUCUGUUCAGUCAGAGAGAGUCUGACUGGGCGCUGUUACUGGGAGGCUGAAUGGAGCGGAUGGGGUCAUGUCGCGGUGUCAUAUAAAGGAAUCAGCAGGAAAGGUGGGAGCAGCUGUCGGUUUGGACUCAAUAAGAAGUCCUGGAAUCUUUACUGCUGUGAUACGCUUUACUCUGUCUGGCACAAUAAUAAGAGGACAAACAUUCCUGUCCCUUCAUCUUCAUCUAAUAGAGUAGGAGUGUAUGUGGAUGUGUCGGUUGGCUCUCUGUCCUUCUACAGCGUCUCUGACACACACACUCACACACUUACACACAUUCAACACCACAUUCACUGAACCCCUCUCGCUGGAUUUAGACUAUAUCCUAAUUCUUCAGUAUUUUUCUGCUGAAUUUGAAUUUUACCAAAAACAAAAGAAACACAAAGAUAAAUUCCUCUAUAAUGGCAACAAAUAAAGUUUUUCAGCACUUCCUAGAUAAAGAUCCAAAUACCUUUAGCUUUCAUGGACAUAUUUUCAUAGACAUUUCAGACUAAUUCCUCUUAUAUUGCAAGUCACUGAUAUAAGGUAUCAUUUAUUCUUGUGUGUGUUUUAGUAGGCAAAGGUAGCCAUAUUAGCCUUUUUUUGUUACCAUCACAUUUUUGUAUGUACAUACGUGUUUUUGCAUUGUAUAUUUUUAAAUGCUUAUAUGUAGUUAGAUCUGUAGUUAAUUUCUGAUCAGACUUUAAGAAGAUUAAAGCUAAUAAAAAUCCCUAGAUUUACAUUCAUGGAAUGUUCAGAUGAGCCAAGACUAUUAAACUCCAAAUGUCAAAAUUUAAAUCUAAAGACCCUAAACCCCAUUAGAAUCAAUCAGACGUUCCUUCUAUGUAAUAUGUCUAACCAAUUUAAACAACUUUAAGCUUCCACUCUAUCUAAUCAUACUAACAACAUGCUAAUAAUGCUAGAAACACGGUAAUUGUGUAAUCUACAUGAUUGUAACUAGCUUAUCAUGCUAACAACAUCCUAGUAACUUACUAAUCAUGCUAACGACGUUAAUCAUGCUAGUAGCAUGCUAAUCAUGCUAACAACAUGGUAGUAACAUGCUAAUCAUGCUAGUGACAUACAAAACAUGCUAGAGCCAUGUUGGUAACUUGUUAAUCAACAAACCACCCGAACUGAAUAACAACACCCUAGCAACUACCCCAGGUACCUUAGCAACCACAUAGCUAGACCUUAGCAGCCACCUGGUACCCUAGCAACUGCCCCAGGUACCCUAGCAACCACCUAGAAUUUCCUAGUUACCACUCUGAGGUCCUUAGAUUAUAGAUAGAUAGAUUCUGAACGUCUUUAAAACUACUUCUAAUAGGGUCAGACUUUCUCAAGCCAACUUCAAAGAUUGUUAACAAACUUUACUUAUCUAUUUACAUUUAUAAUUACAUUGUUGACCCAUCACCUUACCCUUUAACCCACCCUUAAACAUAACCUGAGCCCCAAACAUGUCCUAGCCUUCCCUGUAUCCCACCUUAAUAAUGGCAAUACUGUUUUACAAUGCAGCAUGACCCCAAUAAGUACAUUGUACAUAUUUCUGAUGUAAGUACAUAGUAUUUAAGGCCACCUAAUGUAAAGUGUGUCUCUUUAUUGUAACAAUUUGACAGUUGAUAUUGGGUUAAUCGUCAUUUUCUUCAAAAAUAUUUGCUUUAAUCAUAAUGCUUUGAAAUAUUAGUUCAUUAUGAAGAUAUUAGUCGUAUUAUAACAUUAUGUUACAUUUUUGUGCAUAUGCAUUGAGAAAGCAGGAAGCAGUCACUGUGCUUUCACACAGGACACGUUUGCAGUGCACUACUGUAUUUGUACAUUUUGUAUAAUUUCAACAAUGCAAUUUCAGCAUAUUAAGAUGUAUACUGAACCAACAACUUUUUCUAACUAAUGUUACUUCAUGGUCGGCCUUUACAAACCACAUGUAAUCUACUAAUUAGACAUACAAAUGUAUGCAUGACAGGCUAUUUCAAGUGUAAACUGAAACGUAUACACCUACAUGCUAAUGACAUCAACCUGCAAGGUGACGACCAAAAAAAUAAAUUAAUAAAAUAAAUAAAAAACAACAAUACUGUAUUCACUAACAACAUAUAGGCACCAAUAAUAUGUGAUCAUAUUGAAAAACAAUAAUCAUAUAAAUUAUGUAAUGUUAUAUUAAUUACGUAGAUUUAUAGAGUUAAUAAGAUAAAUAAACAACUGAUUAAAUAAUGAUUGAGCAUUAGUGAUGAACACCUGCUGUUUCUGAGAAUGACAGAGGAUCAGAUGGUGAUGUUUAACUGGCUAAAAUGAUGCCAGCAUCAAAAAGAUCAGUGUUUGAUUUAGUUGGGCUCUUGACCCUUUACGAAUUCAAAGAAACGGCUUCUAAGCAACUGCUUCACAGCUAGCACUGACUACAUAGAUUAGCAAUGGAUUAUAAAUAUACUUCAUUAUUAUUCAAAUUAUUUAUCUCCAACCCCGAAAAAGGUAGCAACAUAUUUCAUUUUUGAGGCCACGAGGGAUGGAAGUACAGUGCAUGUAUUGUACCGUCAAUUAAAACAUACCAAUAUUAAGCUUAUUUCCAAAAAAAUAUAU